AUGGCCGCUCGGCCUCCGUCUCAGCUUCGCCUGCGAGUAGAAAUCCGCCCCCCCAGCACGCACACACACACCUCGCCAGCGAGUGGCGUCCCUGCACACGGAUAGUCCCCCCCACCGCCGUCUCCACUUCCUUCCUUCCCUCCUGUUCGCCCACCCUCCUACGUAGCGACCGCGGUGCGGUGGAAGACAAGGCCAGCGGAGCGAAGACGGGUCCAAGCCAGGCUUGUUAAAAAAUGAACGUUCGGAGAAGCGGAGAAAAGCCGCCUUCACUUCCUUGUGAAACUCACCGGGACUCGGCGUCGAUCGGCCGGACAGAGCGCGCCAGAAACCUCCCGAAACGGAGACAACAACAAGCCCGAAAAUGCAGCCAGAGACUAGGGGCUCUGGAGCUGACGCCAUCUUUGAGUGAAACAGGAGCUGGGCGAGCGGGGGGAGGGGAAAGGGUCGGGCCGAGGGAGCGUCUGCAUGGUGCAACCCGCAAUCGGAGGCGGAGACGGGCGGUGCGGGAGGGGGAUUCGGGGGUUGUAACCGUGGAGGUUGAAUACCGGUUGUACGAAUGAAAUGGAAGAAAAGGACAGAUGGUGAAGCGGGGAAAAUGGAUCGGUGUCCCGCUUCUCCCCCCCCCUUAUGCGCGCACACAGUGGCACGGACGAAUUAGGGAGCGUCUCGAAUUCGCAUUUUGCUUUCAGCAGCAGGACGUGGUGGUGGUGAUGGUGGUGGUGUGGAGAGGGGGGGGGGUGAGAAGAAAAAAAAAAUCAAAGCUACGGAUUGUGGUUUUAAUGUUAGAGGGUAUUUAAAGAUCACAGAGGCCCUCCUCCGCUGCUGUGUAGCCCUGCAUCGCAUUGUUGCUGGCUGCUGUUUUUUUUUUUUUUGUUCACCGCUUCUGAGUGGACUGAUGUCAGCCUGCCCCCGGGGAAGACAAUAUGUCACGUCCAAAAUAUUCAGCUACCUUCAUACAUCUGUGCCGAUUGAUCACUUCCUUCUUUUGUGCAUUUGCGUGAUUUCGUUCUUUAUUGUAUUUAUAUGUGCGAUAUUUAUGUUGCGCAAACGAACCGCAAUGCUUAAAAACGAAGUCAUCGUGCACCCAAGAAGGGGCUCGUUUGACCGCAAUGGGGGGCUGACAGGUGACUCCCGGAAGACCUCCUACGCCAGUAUCCAGAAAACCUGUUGUGUGUCAAUGCUUAUUGCUAUCGCACACAAUCUCAUCUUUAAAGCAUCAUCCGAUCGAACGUCUCCAUUCAGCGUUUAAUUUGGAACUAUUCAUGUGUUUUAUUAACUGUGUUAUUUACUUCCAAAAUCACUGGGCUUUAACAGGGAUAUAAUACAUGCUCUUUUAUAUUCUACAUUUUGUGUCAAUUAGACCUUUUAUUUUUGUAAGGAGUUAUAAUUCAUUUUUAUAAUUUAAUAGUAGCAGAGCGUCAAAUUAAUGACAAUAACUAGUUCCUAAAUGAUCAUUUUUAGAACAUGCAUAUCAAAACAAUUAUUGUUUUACAAUUCUCAUUUGAAUAUUAAGUAGUAUUGUCCCAGGAAUUAGAACUUAAUUACUAUAAAUGUUUUCAGUUACAAAAUUAAGCUACAAUUAAUGUUCUGAACAAAUAAAAAAAAGUAGUCAGUUUUAUUUGUAUGUAUUGUAUUGUUGUCUUUUUAAUUUAUUUCAUAGAAAGAUAUGUAUCACCUUUUUUCUUUAAAAUGGUUUAAUUUGAGGAAGUACUUUUUCUGGUGAAUAAAAUGUAUUCGUUUUUGAAAAUGUUCUGAACAUGGUUUCACUAAAUAGUGCUUUAACUGUUUUUUUUGUGUUUUGUACAUUACUCUAUGUACUUUUAACCAUACACCUGAAAAGAUAAUAUCUAUGUGAUAAUUAAAUAAAAUGCAACUAGAGUGGUGA